UACGUAGGGUGCAGGCGUUAAUCGGAAUUACUGGGCGUAAAGCGUGCGCAGGCGGUUUCUUAAGUCAGAUGUGAAAGCCCCGGGCUUAACCUGGGAACUGCGUUUGAAACUGGGAGACUUGAGUGUGGCAGAGGGGGGUGGAAUUCCACGUGUAGCAGUGAAAUGCGUAGAGAUCCGGAGGAACACCAGUGGCGAAGGCGACACGCUGGGCCGUACCUGACACUGAUGCGCGACAGCAUGGGGAGCAAACAGG
rnacentral:rRNA from 1 species